AGGAUAAUAGUUUAAAAAAAACAGUUAAAUUGCAAUUAAAAAAUAUUAUAUUAAUUUAUCUUU
rnacentral:tRNA from 1 species